UAGGGAAUCUUCGGCAAUGGACGAAAGUCUGACCGAGCAACGCCGCGUGAGUGAAGAAGGUUUUCGGAUCGUAAAACUCUGUUGUUAGAGAAGAACAAGGACGUUAGUAACUGAACGUCCCCUGACGGUAUCUAACCAGAAAGCCACGGCUAACUACGUGCCAGCAGCCGCGGUAAUACGUAGGUGGCAAGCGUUGUCCGGAUUUAUUGUGCGUAAAGCGAGCGCAGGCGGUUUCUUAAGUCUGAUGUGAAAGCCCCCGGCUCAACCGGGGAGGGUCAUUGGAAACUGGGAGACGUGAGUGCAGAAGAGGAGAGUGGAAUUCCAUGUGUAGCGGUGAAAUGCGUAGAUAUAUGGAGGAACACCAGUGGCGAAGGCGGCUCUCUGGUCUGUAACUGACGCUGAGGCUCGAAAGCGUGGGGAGCAAACAGG
rnacentral:rRNA from 1 species